rnacentral:rRNA from 1 species
AGUGAACGCUGGCGGUAGCCCUAACACAUGCAAGUCGAACGGCAGCACAGUAAGAGCUUGCUCUUACGGGUGGCGAGUGGCGGACGGGUGCGGAAUACAUCUGAAUCUACUUUUUCGUGGGGGAUAACGUAGGGAAACUUACGCUAAUACCGCAUACGACCUACGGGUGAAAGCAGGGGAUCUUCGGACCUUGCGCGAUUGAAUGAGCCGAUGUCGGAUUAGCUAGUUGGCGGGGUAAAGGCCCACCAAGGCGACGAUCCGUAGCUGGUCUGAGAGGAUGAUCAGCCACACUGGAACUGAGACACGGUCCAGACUCCUACGGGAGGCAGCAGUGGGGAAUAUUGGACAAUGGGCGCAAGCCUGAUCCAGCCAUACCGCGUGGGUGAAGAAGGCCUUCGGGUUGUAAAGCCCUUUUGUUGGGAAAGAAAAGCAGCAGGUUAAUACCCCGCUGUUCUGACGGUACCCAAAGAAUAAGCACCGGCUAACUUCGUG